ensembl:lncRNA
AGUGCAGCUGAAGCUUUGUGGAGGGUAAGGAAGCCUUGGAGGGUAUGCAGGACACCAAGCCUUAUUAAUGUCACACAACUGUUGACAGAGUUUUAUUGGGCUGUUCUGAAGAGCAUCCCAAGCUGAAUUUGAUUGGAAAUAGACUGGUGAAUAUCUUCACUUCCUUUGAAACUUCAGUAGCUUGGCUUUGCUGCUAUAAAUCUUUGCUUCAGUCCUCAGCAUUUGUUUGACUACAUUGUGAGACAGGUGCCUUUCCUGAGUUACAUGAACAAAUAAGAUAUGAGUCACUUUCUUGUACGUGUAUCAAUGCUCAUUUGUCACCUUCUUGUGAAUUCACUGAGUUUUUGAGAGGUUCUUUAAGAGUUUUCACCCCAUCAGCACAGCACUUGAAUAUCCAAAUCUGUGAGUUGGAAGGCUGCACUGCGUCUGCCGCUUGUUGAUGAAUUCAAGUGACUCUGCUCCAAUCUUCUGCUUUUUCUGUCAUGAGAUGUGAGUAUAAGAAGCCCUAUCUUCUACUUGGUAUCCUUUAAUUGGUUUUCAAUUCAUGAAAAGGAUAUUUCCUCCAAUUGCAGACUAGAUUCUUUAUUAAAGCCUUGCCUAAGAGUUUUUAUCCACAUGCUCCUCUAAUACCAGUCUAGCCCUGUAGAUUCAUAAAGCUUCUGUUAGCCAUCCGGCAAAUCUUAGCUGACCAUUUUAACCUUUACACUCAGUAAACUAACUCACUCUUUAUUACAAACUUGACCAUCUGAUUGGAACUGGAAAUUUUUCACAGCACUGAGGCUUCCCUCUAGAUUCCUUUUUACAGAUGAGAGCUAUGCUGCAAUCUGUCAGUCCUCUGACACAGUGGCAAUUUGUAAAGAUGGCUGAAGGCCCUUUGGUCAGUAGUUCUGCAGCCUCACAUUUGAUUUCCUUCAGAGUUCUUUGAUAAAUGCAAUUUGGUCCUGAAAAAAAUAGCAUGUUUAGCUUUUUUAUUUAAAGCUAAUACACAGAAGCUGCUUAAAUUAAGUUGAUCUAGCUCGUCUGACCUAUCUGAUACAGAGAAUUUAUCCUCUAUACCACAGUCUCACCAGUGGGUGCUGCCUUCUUAAACCUUGGUCAUCAGCUCUCUCAUCAGUUCCCUCCCUGCUUCCUUCCUUUUGUUGUGUUAAUAAUUUGGUACUACAGUGCUGCUACCAACCUGAACACCAUCUUCACAUUACUUUUCUAGCCCUCUUAUGUUUACAGUUGACUUACAAUGUUCUAUGACUGUUUCUGUUCUGCUUGCCAGCAUUUAAACACAGAAGUCCUUAAGAUGGUUUUGUAACUGUGAUUUACAUAAGUCUUUUACUUCUCUUUGAGUUGUGGCACAUGUUUUACCUAGAUGUCUAAUAGAAUAUUUAACAGUCUGCAGUCUGCCUGUUGGUGCCUUGCUAUUUGGAUUGUUCCAUUAUUUAUUCUAAUUACCUGCAUUUACUGCUCCUUCUUUGAAACUGAUUAUCUCAGAUUUCACUUCGCUUGUCCACUCUUGCAAUAAUAUUAAAC